AGAAUCAACGCUGGCGGCGUGCCUAACACAUGCAAGUCGAACGAGAAAGGGUAGCAAUACCUGAGUAAAGUGGCGCACGGGUGAGUAACACGUGACUAACCUACCUUUUAGUGGGGGAUAACCUAGGGAAACCUGGGCUAAUACCGCAUAAUACCUACGGGUCAAAGCAGCAAUGCGCUGAAUGAGGGGGUCGCGGUCGAUUAGUUAGUUGGCAGGGUAAUGGCCUACCAAGACUGUGAUCGAUAUCCGGCCUGAGAGGGCGCACGGACACACUGGAACUGAAACACGGUCCAGACUCCUACGGGAGGCAGCAGUGGGGAAUUUUGCGCAAUGGGGGAAACCCUGACGCAGCAACGCCGCGUGGAGGAUGAAGUCCCUUGGGACGUAAACUCCUUUCGAUCGGGACGAUAAUGGACGGUACCGGAAGAAGAAGCCCCGGCUAACUUCGCGCCAGCAGCCGC
rnacentral:rRNA from 1 species